rnacentral:lncRNA from 1 species
CAUCCUUCUCCAACUCCGGCCGCUGCCACAGCCAGGCCGGCGUGGUGGUGCGCCUUCGCCUCCCAUCCAUCCACCAGCGCCACCAUCUUCUUCUCCUUCCCCGAAUCCACCAUCAUCCAUCCACACCGCCGUCACCAGCGCCACCAUCUCCAGCCACCAGCACCACAGCGCCUCCCCACACCUCACGCAACCCACCAGACAGAUGGCCGGAGGCGUCUGAUGCCCCGCGCGAUUCUCCUCCCCAAAUCUGAACUGCUGCUGCUCCUCCACCUUUCUUCUUCCCCCAAAUUCUGUUGCUGCUCUCUUUCUAACCUCCCCACGCCUCUGUUCUUCUUGCCCAAACCUUGCUGCUGCUCUUCUUCUACUGCGCCCCCUUGCUGAUCUCUCACGCUGCUGCUCAUUCCCUCAUCACGCUGCUGUUUUCUUCUUCUCCUGUCGCUGCUCUCUUCUUCCCUUGCCUCUAGUUGCUGCUCCUAAUCUUUUCUGAACCCCAGCCUGCUGCUCUUUCUUCUCCCUACCUCGCUGCUGCUCUGCCCUCUUCUCUGAACCUCUCCUCUUCCUCCCAACGCCCCCUGCUGCUUCUUCCUCAUUGCCUGCUGCUGCUCCUCCCCCUGCCUCGCUUCUUCCUCCUUGCCUGCUGCUCCUGCCUUAUCUCUCUCUCUCUCUCUCUAAAUUUCUGUAGUAUUGCGAGAUGUUUCAGACUUUGUAAGGUUCAGAUUCGUAGAGUACUUAAAACCUGUUGUUUGCUCAGUUUCGUACUUGUUUUCUAGAAUGUAUGUGUUCAGUUUCAGACUUGUGUUUGUAGUGUUACAUGGUGAUCUGUGAGCUAAACCGUGGCAUGUGUCACUCAGUUUGUAUGCUUGAUAAUUAGCUAUAUAUAUCCCCAGUCCAUUUCUUGCUUAAGAACCUUGUUACAUUGUGUAGUAUUUGUGUUAGCAGUACAUGUGAUAUAUAUAUAUAUAUAUAUAUAUAUAUAUAUAUAUAUAUAUAUAUAUAUAUAUGACGGUCUAUUCUGCUAAUAUUAGCACAAUAACUAUUCUGCACACCACUUCUGCACUGCACGCUCAACGCAAGUGCACGUCAUUCUUUGAACCAAGUGUGCUGCACUACUCACACGAGUGAACUUCUCGUCGGAAAAAACUGCGCGCGUUAUUCUUUCGGUACUGUUUUCGCUCUAUUUUUUUAACCAUUUACCGGAAUGAGGCGUGUAAUAUACCAUUGAAAAGCUAUGGAUUAGGCUCAACUUCGACAUGUUGAACACUUUUCGAGAUUCCACACGGUUUAAGAGCAGUUUUGAAAUUGGCGCGUCCCAUGACGAGUGGCAGCGAGCGUUUUUUGCUGAUUUCUUCUAAACCACUCGUCGGAAUGAAGCAAACGAUACGCCGUUGGAUAGAUAUCGUCGAGGCGCAUCUUUUUCAUAUAUAAAUGCUUCUCUAAUUCCUUACGGUUUAAGAGCAGUUUCAAAUUUACUAAAUCGCGGAAAUCUGUUUUUGAAAUGUUCGGUACUGUUUUUGCUCCAGUUUUCUAACCGUUUGUCUAAACGAGACGUAUGAUACGCUGUUGGAAAGCUACGGACAAGGAGCAACUUUCAUAUGUUGAAAUGGUUUUGAGAUUCCUUACAGUUUUAAGUUAAUUUUGAAAAUCCUGCGGCUGACUUCGAGAGGCAGCGGCUGUUUUUUCGUGAAAUUUUUACGAAUGGCUGGUCGGAAUAAUUCAAAUCAUACGCCGUUGGAAAGAUAUCGAUGAUACGCAACUCUUUCAUGUAGAACACUCUCUAUAAUUCUUUACGGUUUAAGAGGAAUUUCGAAUUUACCGAAAUGCGGACACUCUAUUUUUCGCGACACCCAAAUCGACGUGGGUACUUCAUCCGACCGAAAACCGCACUGCAACGGACAAAAAACCGCACUGUAUCACAUGGGUAAGAGAACUGCAUGGUUUCUUUUAUUCAAACAUGAUUUUUUUCAAGAACAAGAAAGUAGAGUGCACUUCACAUCGGGUGUAAAUGAACCACAACAGUACCAAAAAGUGAACCGCAUUACUUUUUUUCGCUUUCCUAACAAUUUUUUUGCACUUACGGGAUGAACAACAUCAUACGACCGACCGCGCUGCUUCUGAAUGAAAACCGCAGUGCAUCGGAUGGGCAAGCGAAGUACAUGGUUUCUUCUGUAUUUUUUUAACUUUUUCUAUGGACAAGUAGACCGCAGAGACGAGGGCACGUGAACCGCAACAAUAUCGAAAGUGAACCGCAUUACUUCUUUUGCCGGUUUUUCUAACAUAUUUUUUUGAAUAUGUAACACUGAGACAAGGCAAGCGGACUGCAUCAAUAUUUUCAGUAUUUUUUUCUGCACAAGGAAUCAAAGUGCACUGCAUAAUAUAUAUAUUUUUUCUUUUUACAACAACAAAGUGUACUGCAUCAAUGUUUUUCUACAGAGUGAGCCACAAACGUUUGUUACAUUGAACUGCACUAUUUUCCUUUAAUAAUAUACGGGGAGCUGAUCAUAUACAGAAUGCCACUGUCCACAAAACAAGUGUGCUGCAUAAGCAAAGUGUUCUUUUUCACUGGACAAAACAAAACAGAGUGAACCCCAUUGUUUUGCAAUCUGGGAAUCAAGAGCAACACUUGCAGGCAAUAUGCUCAUAUACACUGCAGUAAGAUGGGCUUCUAUAGGUUCAGUGGACAAGUAUGGGGGAUGGGGAGCUGCAUGCCCGUGUCCUCUCCACUGCUUGCCCCGGAGCCAAAGAACUACAUGAAGAGGCGUUUUAUACUGCAUCAACAACAACCAUAAUCCCCCGUCUAUCAAUUAUGCCAUGCCCUGUAAAGCAAAUCGCACUGCUGUCAGUUGAGAACCCACAAAUUGCAUCACUGGAGUACACACCCAUGAGCUGAACCGCGGGGGAUGCACGCCAUGCACUGCAGUGGUGAACCUGAGCUGAUCCUCCACGCUAAACAUGAACAACAACCAAAAAAUAUUUCAGAGAAUAUGGGAACAAGAAGAAUAGGGAGUAGCAGUGCUACAAAUCAAAAGAACUAAAUCCAUCCGCCCACAUUCAUCGCCCUGGAACGCCAAGCAACAGGGGGCGGAGGUUGAAAGUCGCUGCCGCCGGCCGUUGGGGAGCUCCGACUUGUGAGCAACCGCCCAAGAGCCGCGGACUGCACACACGUGUGCGCCGCACUACACAUAUGCGGCCGCAAACCGCAUGGACGGGCGGUGGCCAGGGCGAGCGGCGCCAGGUGGUGGCCGGGGUGGAGGGAGGGCCGCGACGGAUGGUGGCCGGGGCGGAGGGCGGGCCGCGCCGGGUGGUGGCUCACCUCUGGUGUUGCUCUGGCCGUUCAGCACGGCGGCGUGGAGAGCAGUGCCCCGGCCAGGAAGGAAGAAGGAGAGGGGCGUGGCCGGAUCAGGUGCUGGUCGGCAGGGAGAGGGGUGCGGUGGCCGCAUCAGGUGUCGGUCAGCAGGGAUAGGGGCACGGCGGCCGGAUCCGGAUAUGGUCAGAUCCGCGAGGCCGCGGGACGGUGCCUGAUUGGCAGGGUGGACGGCGGCUCGGCGGCGGUAGGUGGCAGGGGGGAGCAGGCGGGGCCGGCUGGUGGGAGGACGAGGCGGGGUGGGGCCGGCUGGUGGGAGAAGGAGGCGGGGCGGCGCCGGCCAGUGGGAGAAGGAGGCAGGUGGUGGUCGGGUGGGGUAUCGGGGAGGGAAGUUUGUGGAGGAGUGGGGUUCGAGAGGGGAGUGGUGGGCAGCCGGUGGAUUUUUCUAUUCGUUAGGUUAGCGCGUGUUGGGGUGGCUACUGGGUAGGGGUGUUAGCAGAAUAAGAAAAUGGUGUGCAGAAUAAGACUCUUAAGGGUGUUAUCAUAAUAGACCCACCCUAUAUAUAUAUACACACACACACACAUUUGUGCGUGUCUUUGAUGUGAUGCACUUUAUGUUUUGUCCUACAUACUUGUUUCUUCCCUCUGUUAAAUGUAAAAUACUUAUAUAUAUAUAUGUCCAUGUCUUUUCAAUUCCCUAGCCGUUGAUGUAUGCUUGUGUUAGCAUUUUAUUUUUCAACUAAAAUAAAAACACAAAAAAAUAUACAUUGAGUAAAAUCUGAAUCUACCUUUGCUUAUCUGCAUUUUCUUUGGCGACAACCCUGUUUAGUUUAAUUUAACUUUUUUUGCAUUCAUCAUCUAAAUUCUGUUAGUAUAGUUGCCGUCGCCUAGUCCCUGAGGAGAACACGACACUCGUAGUUUGGGCGUAAAAACCCCGCUACACUUACAACUGAUCAUUUUGGCGCUGUUGCCGGGGACUAGCGUCGAGCGAUUGUGCUAGGCUAUAGACUAGGUUUUUCUUGUUUUCAUCUUGUGCCAUAUAUUUGUGAUAUAUCUCUACCCACUAAUCCCUGUUCUAGUUAGUAUCUUUUUGUCUUCUUUUCCUUUUUGCAGGUUGGAUUAUCCUCUCGGAAAUGGUAUUCUAUUCAGAUCAUCAUGCUUAUGCAAGCAACACUACAAACAGCACGGAAAGUAUUCAAGAACUGAUAGGUAAGAUUUCCCAUCGAUUAGAUGAUUUAGCUCGGCAGCGAGAAGUAGUUUUAGAGGAUAGGCCUAGUUCUUACUAUCCUUAUUCUAAAGGUCAUCCUUAUGUUGCUCCUACUUGCCAUAUUUGUGGAUUUCAGGGCCAUUUGCCCGCUGAAUGUCAGCGUGGCUACUCUCACACUCCGGAUUGUUUUGGCAUGAGCUUCGCUCAAGAGCAUAGCUCAUACCAAAACAAUUACUCACAUGGGUGGCCUGGAAUCCCGAAUAUGUCAUAUAGGAGCAACAACCCUGAGAUCUCACAGUUUGGUUCUAGUAAUCAUAUGCAGGGAUUUAGGUACAAUGAGGAGAGCCACAACUAUGCACCACAACAAUUCCAUUCAGCUCCUACUCAUAUACCACAGCACCAGGAGAUGUGUCCAAUGGAGUUAAAUGGUCCUCCAUUUGGUCAACCAACAACUCCAGCACCUGUUGUGCAAUCUCAUGUGCAAGUGCCCACACAAGAUGAGUUUGAUGACAUAGACAAGCUCACACUUUUGAGUCUCGAGUUCACUUGGAGUGCCGAGGAUGAUCCUAUUAGGAAGGUUAUACUAGAGGAAAUGAAGAAGAUUAAGAGUGGAAAGGAGCUAGUGGAAGAAGUAAGGAAGAUUGAGAAGAACAUCAACGCUGGCAGCACUAUUUCUUCACAACUUGAGUUGAGUGUGGCUGAGAUAUCCAUGGAUACAUGUGAGGUUCCAACACCUUCACAUUUCAUUGAGCAAGAUAGCAAGUGCCUUGAGCAAGAGAUACCUCAGAUUGAAGAAGAUGAACUAGAAGACAAGGAACAAGAUGGUCAAGAGCUGCAAUUCCCAAGUGAUCAAGUUGAAGACUCACCAUCUAGUACUCCUGAAGAAGUACAAGAAGCUGUUGUAGAUGAAGAUGAAGAACCUGAGAUUCAUUGGCCUAUUAUCAUACAUGAGCAUGAUGUGUCAGGUUUACCCAAUCCUCUUGAUGACAUGAGUCCUUAUGAUUUAUUUGCUUCUACCUUGCAUUACAUGAUGCCAUCACUUAAGAUUGAUUUGAAAAAUCAUUUACUUGGAUAUGAUGAUACAUACACUGUUGGUGGCAUUGCUCUCAUUUGUGAUGAUCACAACUACUUUCCUCAUGCUAGUCUUGAGCUUAAUGAUAAAUGUCAUCCUCGUGUGAGUAUUGACCAUGCUGAUUUCUGCCAUCCUAAACAUGUGCUUUAUAGUUAUGCUUAUAUAAUUGGAUAUUCCAUUGAUGACUUGGAGGGCAUCGACCGUAUCACCUGUAGUUGUUUGUGUGAGUCCUAUUUCAGGCUUUUGCUACUGCACUGUUUACUACAUGCUGACCAGGUUCGAGGUGACAUUCCUUGGGAUCCUGGUGGAGUCAGAGCAUGGCGAUGAGGAGAAGCAAUGGGGCACACAUAUGGAAGAGUGAAGCUGGAGCAUCCAUGAGGAAGCAAGGGAGAAGAGCUGCAGCUGGUGAGGUGAUCGAGCGAGUGCUACAUGAUCAAAGCCCGGUGAGAUGUUUCAUGACCCAUUCUGAAUAUCAUAAAUACAUGCUGAAUUCAAUUGCUAGUUGGGUUGCUUGAGCUAGUUAUUACUUGUUGUCAAGCUGAAAUUCACCUUUGGCAUUGUGCUUGAUGUGAAUUUGUGAACUUGAUUUCUGAAUGCCUUGUAAACUAGUGAUCUACACCAUGCAUGAUUUGCUGAAAUUUGUGGAAGUUAUUAGUUUUGAGUGCUCAAAUCCCUAGUACACUAGAAAACUUGAUCAUUUUCUGCUUUUACCUUGAUACACCUAGAUCACCAUGUUUAGAUGCCGAAUUUGUGCUAAGUGUGUUCCCAUUGAGAGCAAUCACCUUGCCACUAUGGAUUAGCAUGCUAUGUUCCCUGGAUCGGUAGCAUGUGAACCAGACAUGGAGAAGUGACGAUUCAUGUUUUUGUGCUUAUGCGUUGUUCAUUUAAGAUAGGUAAUAAUGAAUAUAUAAGUCUGGCUACCUACAGUAGCAUGUCAUGUUCCCGGGAUCGGUGGCAUGUGAAAUCGGGUUAGCUUGGGCAGUAAUUAAUAAUAAUAAUAAUGUAUUGUCGAACCAGGUGUAUAUCAUGUUCUCGGGAUUGGUGGUAUGUUCCUUGGGGAGACAAACAAAAAAAUUAAUAAAAAUUGGUUGAGCCAGGUGUAUACCAUGUUCUCGGGAUCAGUGGUAUGUUCCUUCAGUGAGACUAAUAAAAUAAUAUGUGUGUUUCUUUCAAAUUCAAUAAGUGGUUCAACCACAAAGUCAUAUUUCUGCAAAUAAGAGAUUUAAUUCCAGUUCUUUUUGUUCUCGGGAUCAUGCUCUCUUUAGGAACCAUUUGGCGCAGUCAUCAUUUAAACUUGUUGAUCCUCUUUUAUCAUUGUAAAAGUUUAAAAUGGUCAUGCUUACUAGUAUCCUACCACUUUGAAGAACUCCUAACCAUUAAUUUUCACUAGCUAAGUCCAAAGCAUGCACUGUUUAGAGAUCUACUUCACUUGGUAUUCUCUAGUCAGCUCACUGUUCACAUUCUUGUUCUUGUCAUAUGCCUUUGCUUGAGGACAAGCAAAAGUUUAAGUGUGGGGGAACUUGAUAAGCACAUUUCAUAUAUACAAUUUUGGCAUAGAAAUAUAUUAUUUAUUGAGAUAUGACCAUCAAUUCUUGCUGUGAAAUAUUGAAUAUUUGCAUGAAAAUCAUAUAAAGUAUCAUUUACUAGUCUUUGGUCUAUUUUGCAGAAAUGUGCGCAAAGGCACUAUAAAUCUUCAAGAUCCGGACUAAGUGGCUAAGAGAACGAAGAAGAGGAGGAAGAAUGGACCCGACCGUGAAGAAAAGAAGUAACCAGAGGGGCCAAGCUAAAGUUGGAGGGAUCAUCUUGUGAAGAAAGAAUAGAAGUGGAAGGGCAAAAGAGCAAAAGUGGCAUAUCAGAGGAGGGGGAUCAAAUCCCUAGCGCAGCCUCGAUCCCCUUUGGGCCUAGCAUAUCUCUCUCUCCCUCACCCAUUCUUCUCCAACCCCGGCCGCCGCCACGGCCAGGCCGGCGUGGUGGUGCGCCUUCGCCUCCCAUCCAUCCACCAGCGCCACCAUCUUCUUCUCCUUCCCCGAAUCCACCAUCAUCCAUCCACACCGCCGUCACCAGCGCCACCAUCUCCAGCCACCAGCACCACAGCGCCUCCCCACACCUCACGCAACCCACCAGACAGAUGGCCGGAGGCGUCUGAUGCCCCGCGCGAUUCUCCUCCCCAAAUCUGAACUGCUGCUGCUCCUCCACCUUUCUUCUUCCCCCAAAUUCUGCUGCUGCUCUCUUUCUAACCUCCCCACGCCUCUGUUCUUCUUGCCCAAACCUUGCUGCUGCUCUUCUUCUACUGCGCCCCCUUGCUGAUCUCUCACGCUGCUGCUCAUUCCCUCAUCACGCUGCUGUUUUCUUCUUCUCCUGUCGCUGCUCUCUUCUUCCCUUGCCUCUAGUUGCUGCUCCUAAUCUUUUCUGAACCCCAGCCUGCUGCUCUUUCUUCUCCCUACCUCGCUGCUGCUCUGCCCUCUUCUCUGAACCUCUCCUCUUCCUCCCAACGCCCCCUGCUGCUUCUUCCUCCUUGCCUGCUGCUGCUCCUCCCCCUGCCUCGCUUCUUCCUCCUUGCCUGCUGCUGCUGCCUUAUCUCUCUCUCUCUCUCUCUCUCUCUCUCUCUCUAAAUUUCUGUAGUAUUGCGAGAUGUUUAAGACUUUGUAAGGUUCAGAUUCGUAGAGUACUUAAAACCUGUUGUUUGCUCAGUUUCGUACUUGUUUUCUAGAGUGUAUGUGUUCAGUUUCAGACUUGUGUUUGUAGUGUUACAUGGUGAUCUGUGAGCUGAACCGUGGCAUGUGUCACUCAGUUUGUAUGCUUGAUAAUUAGCUAUAUAUAUCCCCUGUCCAUUUCUUGCUUAAGAACCUUGUUACAUUGUGUAGUAUUUGUGUUAGCAGUACGUGUGAUAUAUAUAUAUACACACACACACGUUUGUGCGUGUCUUUGAUGUGAUGCACUUUAUGUUUUGUCCUACAUACUUGUUUCUUCCCUCUGUUAAAUGUAAAAUAGUUAUAUAUAUGUCCAUGUCUUUUCAAUUCCCUAGCCGUUGAUGUAUGCUUGUGUUAGCAUUUUAUUUUUCAAAUAAAAUAAAAACACAAAAAAAU